AAGGAGGGGGGAAUGAAGGAAGGAAGGAAGGAAGGAAGGAAGGAAGGAAGGAAGGAAGCAAGCAAGCAAGCAAGCUAAGCAAUAUAACCCUGUGGCAACAUUUGUAAAAGUGACUCUGAGAAGACAGAAAGAUCCUCUAUGAGAGGCUGGUGUCCCCAGGAAUUGGCGAGGCCUGCUGAGGAUCAUUUGGGUAAAUGUCAUGGUCACGCGGCCCCAUUCUCUUCGCUGAGCUCCGGAUUUCCGUAGCCAAUUGUCUGCUGGACAUUCCUCCCUGAGACAUCUCACAGAGGCUGUGGACAGGAGCACCGAGAGCCACUUCCUGGAGCAUGCUCCCCACCCCCGCAGCCUGUGGCUUCAGCCUCUGCUUCUGCAGACAGCGGUGGAGGAAGUCAGGACUGUCCCUUCUGACCUGAACACCUACCUCCAAGUCCUCCCUGUCGCCACAGAGACCCGGCAAUGCAAGUGAGUCCUGUUUGACCUCGUCAAUCAUCGCAGACUGUAAAGGUGACUCGGAUGCUCAAGAAACGAGCAUACCCAGCAGUGGGCCCCAGAUUUCCCGCAGGCCCAGGUCCUCCUGGGUGCACAGAGACCUACCAGACAACGGUCCGGCUGCACUGGUGUUGUGAGAUGCCUGUGUCAGAAGACACUGAGUUCCUCACUCGCCUCCUAUCAUGCCGAUGAUCACAGGAGAAAGAGCAGGGCACAUGCGUGCCAGCAUGCUGAAGGGAGGCCAAAACCCACGCUUGAAAACCACAGGUCCUGUUCUAGGAGCAGGAGAUAUAUUUAGCCAAGCAGGAUGUUUGUGGGUAAACCAACAUUUUGCUGUAAAUAAAAUUCUGCAAACUCGGGACUUUGAGAAUUGCAGAAGCUUACUUUGCCUGCGUAUUGGCAAGAGAGCUAUUUUCCUAACACAAGCUCACCAUGACCCUCAUUCAGAGAUGCCCUUGACGCCGAGGGUGGUGCCUUUUCGCUAAGGGGUGCUGUCAGGGGAUUGAGUAGGAGCCUGAAGAGCUAGGAGUAUCUUCUCCCUGGGCAGACCAGCAGGCAGACCCUGUCCCUUCACACUACAGUGGCACGUGAUGGGCCCCACUGCCCACCUGGUUCUGGUGUCCAGGCUGAAGUCCUCGUGUGACACUCCAAACUGUUCUGGCAAGGAAGGCUCACGGGUUCUGACCUACACUCUGAAACUGACCAGUAGUGAUAAACUCUGCAUGGACUUCAGCCAUCAUUGCGUACGUAAGAAAUACGUGUUGCACACAGAGUGCUUCUCUACAUUCCCAGGUUUGCCACUCCCCGACUUUUGCUGAAGCAGGUUUCUACUCCAUCAGUCCCACAGAUGUGUUCACAGGGCCAGCACUGAGUGUGGUGCUGGGGAAGGCAUGUGCUUGGAGGCAGCCCUGUGAGAUGGCACUGCCUAGGGGAGGAGUCGUGGUGGGGAAGACCCUGGCCACGCAUGAUAGAGGAAGCGUGGCCACACAGUCUUUGCUGUCCCUGCCACAGCAUGGUGCUGUAAGUCUCCUCCUUCUGAGUCUGUGCAGACUUAUGUGACACAUUUGACCCAACAGAAAUGCAGCAUUUGUGGUGUGUGAAAGUUCCAGACCAGGCCACAGAGAGCUCCGUGGCUUCGGCUGUGUCUCCUGGAGCACUUGCUCUCAGGACCCCCUCUCUCAGAGCCCAGGCACCACGCCGUGAGGGAACCCCAGCCACAGAGACAGGCUAGGUGUAGGUGCUUUCAUCAAAGUGCCACCUGUGCCUCCCCGCAGCAGUGUCAGGCCGCCAGCUUGGACAGGCAGCUCCAGCCUCCAGUGGAGGCUUCAGAGGACAGCAUCAAACAGCAUCCACAAAGGAGACCCACCUUGUGAAAAGCGCCUAGCCAAGCCCUGCCCAAAUCCCUGGCCUGUGCAAUUGUGAGCAAAGCAAUUCAAUUUGGAGUGGUUUUAUGCUGCAGUAGGUGACCAAGGCACUAUGGAAGUGAAUAUCAGGAGCCCCUCACUGGGAUGUCAGAAGACAUUCAAGGAAGGUUUCCUGGAAGAUUUAGUACCUCAGGUGGUACAGGAGAAGGCGAGAUGGAGAGAAAGCAACCCCAGUCUGAAGACGCAGUGGUAAGAAAGGGUCAUUCCCCUGGGCAUGUGUGGUCUGCUGGGGGAUGACAGCCGAGGUGAACUUGAAGCAGAGGACACUCAGACAAGCUGCACUCUGAAUCCCGCUACGCUGACCGCAGCACUUGCUGAAGAAGCCGCCUCGCCAUACCCAAGCCCUGCAGAGGGAAGGACUGUGGAAGGCAGCUCAGAGGCCUCAGGCAGCCACAGUGGGCAUGCUUGUCUAUGACUCACAGCUACGACGUGGCCUGUGCUGCUGCAGCUGCUGAUAAGCCUCAAACCUCAUAUACCACUCUCUUCCGAGGAUUUUUAAAUACACAAAACUGGGAGUGAGAGGGGUAUUUAAUUCCCCUACUAACACAUGUUGGGCGCAGCUGGAGCAGCCAGGCCCACUGUAGCUGGGAAGAUGCGGUGCCUCGAAGUGCAGGCACUGCUCACUGCCACAUGUGAGCACAGGUUCUGAGGGUGAAAGGUCCCUGGUAUCUGGCCAGAGUGUUAGACUCUGGAACAUAAGAAGCCCCCGAGGUGGUGGAGAAGGUCUAGCCAGGCUCCAGACUGGCUUCACAGAGGUAAUGCUUUUUGGUUUGAAAUCCGUAAGAGCGCACUACAACUUCAGGGCAAGCUCCAACAGUGCUUCUCAAACUUUAAUGAGCACCCAAAUCAUCAGGGGGCAUGGGGGCAGUGGGUCGCUUACUAAAAUGAAGAUUCUGCAUCAGGAGGUCUGGGGCGGUGACACGAUUCUGUGUUUCUAACACGUUCCUGGGUGAGGCUGAGGCCACUAGUCCGUGAAGCACACUUUGAGUAGCAAGAAUGUGGAGGAACUGUCCCAGGAUGGGCCAUGAUUUACCUGAAUUCUCACAGUGGCUUAGACAAUGGAGACCUUGUCCACAACUAAAAAAUAAAAAUAAAAUCGAACCACACUCAUUGUUCCAGGAAACAGCAAUAACAUUGGAAAUAAAUCAAAUGGUUUAUUAC
rnacentral:lncRNA from 1 species